AAAUCUCGAUAAGACUCCUGGUAGAGUCUUGAAUAUGUGUUGGAUUAUACACCCCCUAAGUGCACGCACACACAAAUAAGAAGAAAAAAAAAGUUGACUUGACAAAAUUUUUAAUAAUUUUGGUAGCCAGUCUGGUAGAGGUCCAUACCAUGGCAGUGAAAAUAUUGCCUUAAAAGACUGAGGAAGGGUGUUGGAAGAUUGGGUGACAAAAAAUCAAGCAGAUGAAGUUUUCAUGUUGGCGCAUCUAAUAAAAGAGUUAAUUGAAACCAUAGCAUCUGCUAAAGUUGAAUUUCCGCCAUCAUGCACUUUCCUUCAGGGUUUAUCCUUUUCGUCCAUGCCAAGGUAAUAUGAUCUCAUUUUUGGAAGCUAGGAGUUAGGAAUUCAAGCGAAUUCAACUGGAAAAUUAGAAUGCAAUCUGUAUUUAAAAUGGCAGGCAGGAAAUGGUCCUGCUUGAUUCAAGAAGAAAAUCAUUUCAUCUUCCUUGUCAUUAUCCUCCUCUGCUGAUUCUUCCUCCAUAUUCAGAAACUCGAUGAGACUUUCUAUAGCACCUUGCGUUUUGUUACAUUUCUUAAGUUGCUGUGAUACUUCUGCUGGGGUAACUGAUAUCCUCUGAAUUAGAUCUUCAAUGCACUUGAAUAAUGCAUGGUCUUCAAUUCCUAGAUAUGUCAAUGCAAGCAAUGCUGGGUCUAGUCUCUCUCUGUAGUUGGUUGUGAAGAUAUGAUGAUUCUUUCUUCUCCAAAGCUUGACAGCAUGUCAUCGAUGCAGUUCAACAAGCCCCAUGGUGUUACCUACGGUGUUUCAGGGAUUUUAUUUUUUUUGAAAAAAGAGAUGUAAAUGAUUCAAAAUUCGGAUGAUGGAUGUAUAAAAACUACAGAAGUAGUGAUGGUUAUCAAGUUAUUCAUAUUUUCGGUUCU